GCUUACGACCAUACCACCCUGAACACGCCCAAUUUCUUUCGAUCUCGUUAGCAGGAUUGAGCCUGGUUAGUACUUGGAUGGGAAACUGCCUGGGAAUACCAGGUGCAAUACGCU
rnacentral:rRNA from 1 species